rnacentral:rRNA from 1 species
CCGGAUUAGAUACCCGGGUAGUCCAGGCUGUAAACGAUGCGGGCUAGGUGUCGCGAUAGCCAUGAGCUAUCGCGGUGCCGGAGGGAAGCCGUUAAGCCCGCCGCCUGGGAAGUACGGCCGCAAGGCUGAAACUUAAAGGAAUUGGCGGGGGAGCACUACAACGGGUGGAGCCUGCGGUUUAAUUGGAUUCAACGCCGGGAAGCUUACCGGGGGAGACAGCGGGAUGAAGGUCGGGCUGAAGACCCUACCAGACUAGCUGAGAGGUGGUGCAUGGUCGCCGUCAGUUCGUACUGUGAAGCAUCCUGUUAAGUCAGGCAACGAGCGAGACCCGCGCCCUCAGUUGCCAGCGGAUCGCUUUUGCGAUGCCGGGCACACUGGGGGGACUGCCGGCGCUAAGCCGGAGGAAGGUGCGGGCAACGGCAGGUCCGUAUGCCCCGAAUCCCCCGGGCUACACGCGGGCUACAAUGGACGGGACAAUGGGUACCGACCCCGAAAGGGAUAGGUAAUCUCCUAAACCCGGUCUAACCUGGGAUCGAGGGCUGCAACUCGCCCUCGUGAACCUGGAAUCCGAGAA